AGGUGCUAAAGGAUUGAAGAUCUUAUAUUUCUAUCUCUAUAAUUUCGAUCUCUAUAAUUCCCUCCUAAGGCAUGUGUGCAGCCAUUAAGAUUAGUGCACUUUGGCCAUGAAGAAUGCUCUCUUUCCAUCAGGGGGGACGUGGCCUUAAUGAGAACAGAUUGCAGAAGUGGAAAUAAGACGACUGCGCCAAGUUUUAAAUCUGAGAUUUGUAGGUCUACAGCAGAGUGAGGCUCCAGAUUAAGCGAGAUAUGGAGAAGCUGCUACUGCCCUUCAUUACUUUAAUGCCUGUCCUGUAUUUUUCCACUUCAUUUCCCGAUCUUCAACCUCAUCGUUUGACACCUUAAGACCUCCAGAGAUUGAUAUCUGUCUGCCUGGAUUUUCUUUUUUGGACAAUUCUUCUUUGGCAUCACAAGAGUGGCUGCAUAGAGCAUCAGUAUUACAUCAGCAUGUGUGCUUGUGCCAAAUCUUCAGAAUGUGCCGUUUUAACUCACCAAAUAAGGCCAAGACGCCUGGAGUGUAAACAAAUGUAGAAAAGAGCAUAUUCAACUCAUUUAUAUGGCAACGUAGCAGCUAACAGCCAAAUGCUCAUAAAAAUUGAUGAAGUUCACGAGUAUGGAAAAAGUGAUGGAUGCUUUGCUUUGUUGCAUUUGUGUCUCGGGAUCCCGGCCAACGUUGGAAUCGGCAACCUUUCAGCACAGUUUGUUUAUGAGC